rnacentral:rRNA from 1 species
UACGUAGGGUGCGAGCGUUGUCCGGAAUUACUGGGCGUAAAGAGCUCGUAGGUGGUUUGUCGCGUUGUUCGUGAAAACCGGGGGCUUAACCCUCGGCGUGCGGGCGAUACGGGCAGACUUGAGUACUGCAGGGGAGACUGGAAUUCCUGGUGUAGCGGUGAAAUGCGUAGAUAUCAGGAGGAACACCGGUGGCGAAGGCGGGUCUCUGGGCCGAUACUGACGCUGAGGAGCGAAAGCGUGGGGAGCGAACAGG